CCGUUCACCAACAAGUUAUUCCUCUCAAGAGCAGACACACGGCAGUCACUGUGAAUCUCAUGGAGAGCUGUCAUCUCGGCACCGUUCACCAACCAGUCAUUUCUCUCAAGAGUGGACACAUGUCAGCCGCCAUGAAUCUCGUGGAGAGCUGUCACCUCAGCACCGUUCAGCACCC